rnacentral:lncRNA from 1 species
UCAUAAAAUGUCUCAAGUACAAGGCUUUUUAUAAGUACAAAGGAUCCCAAAUACAUUGUAUGAACUUAAAAGACUAAUUAAUGACUUUUCCUAUAUACUAUGAAUAAUAGGAUAUAAAGAACCAUUUGGAUACAUGAUUUAAAUAAAUGCAUGAAUAUUAAGUAAACUAAUUCAUGUAUCAAAUUUAAUUUUUUCCAUCAUUCAUGAAUCAAGUUUAAUUUCCAACA